CUUUUCUUUUUUGUGAAUAAAGGAAGCAAGCAAAGUUCGAGUCUAUCAUCCCCAGGAGUAUCCAAUUAAUCUGGCAUAUGAUAAAGCCAGACCAAAAGUUACUUCUGCAAACUCACACCCAACUUCUAUGUGUGGAUAUUAAUGUGUUGCACCUGCGAAACAAGUCGAUUUCCAUUGAUUUUGAACAAGAAACGGUACCAUUUUGAGGAAAUUUUGUAAAUAUUAGCCACCAAAGUUUUUAAUUUUUUUGAAAAACGUGUACAUCUUGAAAUCAAGAUAUUAUAUAUAACCAUAGUUGGUGCUUAGGAAGGUAAUUGAUAUUAUAAUCACGUAGUCUUUUUAUUAUAAUUGCUAAGGGAGGUAAGUGAUACUUUUAAAAUCUGACGGGUGUCAAGUAAUAUUAAGAGAAACCUCAAGGGAGGUUUCUGAUACCUGUUUUGAAGAGUUAUCCUGAAAGCCAAAACCCCGGCUCUUCCUGUUACUCAAGGGAGAUUUGCACUGUUAGUCCUCUAAGUUUUGAACUUGAGUCAAUUUCAUAUUUUGUCCGUCUCGACCAAGAACUUUACCCUCUGCCCCUGAGAAAAAUCAAAUCAAGAAUUGUUGCCGGUUCUGUUCUACUGUAGUUGGAUUCUGGAAUUGUAAUGCGACGCUGGAGGAAGAAGCGCAGGAUUUUCAAGAGUAAAGUGAGAAUUAAAGCAAAAAAGAGAGUUUUGAAAGAGGAAAAAAUAACACGGGGGGUGAGUCCGUUAGUUGAGAAGUACUGGCUCCAGAGGUACGAUUUAUUUUGGAGAUAUGAUGAAGGAAUUAAGUUAGACGAAGAAGGCUGGUUUUCCGUUACUCCGGAGGAGAUUGCCGUCGGCCAUGCUCAGCGUUGCACCGGCGCCGGUGUCGUCAUCGAUUGUUUCGCUGGCGUAGGUGGUAAUGCCAUUCAAUUUGCUCGAGUGUGUGAUCAUGUAGUUGCCAUUGACAUUGACCCCGAAAAAGUUGCCCUGGCAAUGAACAAUGCCAAGGUAUAUGGUGUUGAAGACCACAUCGAUUUCAUUGUUGGAGACUUUUUUCAGCUGGCACCAUCCCUCAAGGGAGAUGUAUUGUUUCUUUCACCACCAUGGGGAGGUCCAUCAUACAAGAUGACUAAGAAAUUUACUCUGGACUCACUGAAGCCUAAAGAUGGGCACUCCUUGUUUCAAGUUGCACAAAAAAUAACACCUCAUAUAAUCAUGUACUUACCCAGAAAUGUGGACUUACUGGAAGUGGAGCAACUUUCUUGGUUGUCUUCACCGCCUUUGGAUAUUGAGAUAGAGGGAAAUACAGUCAGAGGCCAUUUUAAGGCAAUAACUGUCUACUUUGGUGAUGCUGCCAUAACACAGCUUUGUCUCCCUCGAACACUAUCAGGUUAAAGUUGCACCAUUUGUUCAUUAUGGUUGACGGUAUCCACUGAAAAUGUACAAGGUGCUGCAUGUAAAGUAUGCAUUUAGUCGUACUGCUCCGGAAUUGGUUCAAGACUGACUGACAACAACUGACUUGGUAGAAUACUUGGGUUCUGUUGAAAGGAGAUGGUCUGAUACACCAAUUGAUCAGCUCUGAAGGCAGUUGAGACUUGAGAGGAAUCUCUUCCUUAACUUGUUAAACUUAUUUAUUGGAGUUGCAGCUCAACUGAGAACUUUGUUGUACAUUUCAUUCUUUUUGACCGUCAUAGUCUGUCCUUGAAGAAUUGGCCCACCUUUGUACAUUUUGUACGUGUAAUUUUCCAUUAUCUGCAAGUGUGCUAGUCCUUCUGAUACGUGUUUGAUGCUAGUUCAAGAUACCUGAAAAUCUUUAGAACCUUUAUCUCUUU